CUCUCACACACGCAGCGUGCGCAGAGCUCAGGCACCGCUUCUCUCCUGUGUUCUCCUAGUGACUGUAGAUAUAAAGGAGACUCUCAAUACAUGUAACUAUCAACGCCACACUAUCGAUCCAAUGAUUCCAAAAGUAUUGGCCCCCUGGUGGCGGCACUCGCCACCACGUGACAUCACGUGUAGCCCCGCCCCCAAAACAAGCAAAAUCAAAGAUUUUGCACAACAUGGACAUGUCAUAUAUCAAAACACUCAGCACGAUGAGGGGAACUGACGUCACGUGUAGCCCCGCUCCCAAAAUGAGCGAAAUCAAAAAUUUUGCACAACAUGGGAAUGUGACAUAUCAAAACACUCAGCACGAUGAGGGGAACUUGCAAUGUGCAAGCACAUUCACAUUUUCUUCAGGAAAUGUCCGUUCUAGUUGUUAUUAUUAUUAUUUUAUGGGAAAUAUAUAGUUAAAUAAUUUACAUUCAUCCCCCAAAGUCACAGAAAAGCCAAUAUGUGAUGCAAAGAGAAAGAGAGAGACAAAGAAGGGGGUUGUGACAGAGGAAAUGAUGGUGUCAUGAUCUCUUAAGUACCUGUAUCAUAACGGAUUUUGUGGACAGACCAGAGCAGUUUGGUGCAAGAUUGUGGAACAAAGUGUGUACUGAAGAAGGCAAAUUAAAGAUGUCAGUCUCACAUAGUCGUUCUACAGCUCACAUCUUCUCGUCCAAUAAUCAUUCAUGCUCCUCACUGGUCAACACCAUGGCUUUGGCUACCGACUCCACCACUUCGACAUCCAGUAACCUAACCGCUCACAUUCCACAGAUGGAAGGAGGACCAUACAGCUAUUCGAUGGGGUCUCAGGGACUCUCCAGGACAAAUGAUAGGAGCAGUGAGCAGAUGAUGGGCAUGGCGUAUUUGCCCUAUUCGACAUGCUCAAACUCAACAGUGGAAAGACCAGCACAACACAGCCACAUUAUACAACAGGAGUUUUCUCAGUUCCUGCUUCCUGCACCUCCAUCCACAUUUCGACAGCCAGGUCAGAAGAGAGGUCUGAAUAAGGACAGCAUGGAAUACCGGAUGAGACGUGAGCGCAACAACAUCGCUGUGAGGAAGAGCCGGGAUAAAGCACGUCGGCGUAUCCAGCUCACUCAGCAAAAGGCCUUGGAACUUCAGGAGGAAAAUCAAAGGCUGCUAAUUCACAUCGAACAGCUUACCCAUGAAGUGGAAAUGCUCAGUCGCCAUCUCUCUCAGCGCCACAUACAGAGCAAAGUCAGUGACAUAGGAGUUGAAGAGCACUGUUGAGUGACCUUAGAAACUCACUUACCUUAGUUAUCAGCCUCUUGCUAACUGACACAAUGACACAGGAUUUUGCGUGGGGAAGAGCAGAGGCCCAGCUCUGGUGGGACGGGUAUGAUUUCAUCAUUGUGUGGGACACAGAACUGGAGAUAUCAUCAACAAGCAUGGCUUUAUGAGCCUUCCUGUGGCUGCCACUGCAGUCAGAGGACACACAGAUAGCGAGUGGGAAGUGGACAUGCAUUAGGUUUCUACCCCAAGCUAAAGCUAAGCCAUGAGAGCAGAUGUCUGGAGCUGAUAACACCAAACUGACAGGUUGUUAGAGCCAUGAGGGAAAACAGUGAAAGAGCAGGGGGAGAAGAUUGGAUAGGAGUGGAAAAUCUUCAGAGAACUUACAAAUAUACCUGAAUAUAUGGUGAAAGAACUUUGUGCUCAAAAGUUUGUUGCACCAGUCUCUAUGGGGCAAUAUGUGGUUCAAGGCCUGAAAUACGGCCACACGAUUAGGAAAGACAGUAUUUCAGCUCAGUCUCAGCACCUCAAAGCCCAGUGUUACUCAACACCAAAUGACCAAUGACUUGCAAUUACUUAAAGGCCAGUAAAUCUAGAGGGAACUUCAGUAUUUCUUUGUAAUGGUGAUUAAGAUAAAUGUGAUUCUACAAACCACUAGAACGGAAAAAUAUGAGUGAUUAACAGAGAGUGAGAAAGUACCUUGAAGAGGAGAUGAACACGAAUGUGAAGGAGAGUUUAAGUAGUGGCACAAAUACUCCCUAAUAACAUACUUUUCACAUGAUCAAAGUUUUCUUUAA